GAUGAACGCUGGCGGCGUGCCUAAUACAUGCAAGUCGAGCGGCAGCACGGUCUUCGGACUGGUGGCGAGCGGCGGACGGCUGAGUAACGCGUAGGAAUAUACCCAAAGUGAGGGAUAACUGCCCGAAAGGGUGGCUAAUACCGCAUGUGGUCUUCGGACUAAAGCCUUCGGGCGCUUUGGGAAUAGCCUGCGUAAAGAUUAGCUAGUUGGUGAGGUAAUGGCUCACCAAGGCGACGAUCUUUAGCUGGUCUGAGAGGAUGACCAGCCAGACUGGAACUGAGACACGGUCCAGACUCCUACGGGAGGCAGCAGUAGGGAAUUUUCCACAAUGGGCGAAAGCCUGAUGGAGCAACGCCGCGUGCAGGAUGAAGGCCCUCGGGUCGUAAACUGCUUUUAUGUGCGAAGAAUAUGACGGUAACACAUGAAUAAGGGUCGGCUAACUACGUGCCAGCAGCCGCGGUAAU
rnacentral:rRNA from 1 species